rnacentral:rRNA from 1 species
GAGUUUGAUCCUGGCUCAGAUUGAACGCUGGCGGCAGGCCUAACACAUGCAAGUCGAGCGGUAGAGAGAAGCUUGCUUCUCUUGAGAGCGGCGGACGGGUGAGUAAUGCCUAGGAAUCUGCCUGGUAGUGGGGGAUAACGCUCGGAAACGGACGCUAAUACCGCAUACGUCCUACGGGAGAAAGCAGGGGACCUUCGGGCCUUGCGCUAUCAGAUGAGCCUAGGUCGGAUUAGCUAGUUGGUGAGGUAAUGGCUCACCAAGGCGACGAUCCGUAACUGGUCUGAGAGGAUGAUCAGUCACACUGGAACUGAGACACGGUCCAGACUCCUACGGGAGGCAGCAGUGGGGAAUAUUGGACAAUGGGCGAAAGCCUGAUCCAGCCAUGCCGCGUGUGUGAAGAAGGUCUUCGGAUUGUAAAGCACUUUAAGUUGGGAGGAAGGCAGUAAUUAAUACUUUGCUGUUUGACGUUACCGACAGAAUAAGCACCGGCUAACUCUGUGCCAGCCG